CUACUUUUAUUUUGAUUUUAAACAUAUUUUUAGCUUUAUUCCCAAGACGCUAAUAAUACCUCAACACUCACAAAUUAGGUAUCCCACUCUCUCUCUCUCUCUCACCCCACAGUAAAAACCCCGUUCUCUGCAUUUUGGCUCUUUUCCUCUUCUUCUCACUAAAUCUCGCGCAAAUCGUCGCCGGAAUUUCACUAGUUCAUCGUAGUCGGUGGCUCUUUUUCCCCUCCUUUCUGUCUAUUCUUCUCGCCAGGUCUCCGAUGAAGCUCGCAGGUUCAUCCAGAUACGACCGCGAAACAGAUGGGCGUAUUCUUGUGGCAAAAAUUGAUUGAACUGAAGAAGUUGAUUUGUUUAGAAGGUUCCUGACAACCUUGCCAUAUCAGCUCGUUCGACAGCUCAUUCAUUUGAUGCUUCUCAGAUGAACAUGUCACAUGUAAUUUCUUGGUUUUCGACUUUUCGUUUGGGAACAAGAAAUUAGAGCUGCUGAGGGAAUGAUCUUUGGAAAAAGAAAUUAUGGGAGAUGAAGAUGAGUUUUAGAAAUUAGUUAUAAGAUCUCCCCAAAUAGAAGCUUUGUCAUGAUAAAAUACAUAGCAUUUUUGGUAUUUUUAUUGAUGUUGAGAAGGCAGGCUCAAUGCAAAUCGCUGAGUGCUCAUUCAAAAAUAUUGCAAAGAUUGACUAUGAUUGUUUAUACUGUUAUUGAAUAAUUCUUUGGAAUUAUAAUUCAUUUGAUGAUGUAAAUAUUGAGUUA